rnacentral:rRNA from 1 species
GAUGAACGCUGGCGGCGUGCUUAACACAUGCAAGUCGAACGGUGAACGAGGGAGCUUGCUCCCUCCGGAUCAGUGGCGAACGGGUGAGUAACACGUGAGCAAUCUGCCCCGAACUCUGGGAUAAGCGCUGGAAACGGCGUCUAAUACCGGAUACGACGCGCGAAGGCAUCUUCUGCGCGUGGAAAGAAUUUCGGUUCGGGAUGAGCUCGCGGCCUAUCAGCUAGUUGGUGAGGUAACGGCUCACCAAGGCGACGACGGGUAGCCGGCCUGAGAGGGUGAGCGGCCGCACUGGGACUGAGACACGGCCCAGACUCCUACGGGAGGCAGCAGUGGGGAAUAUUGUACAAUGGGCGCAAGCCUGAUGCAGCAACGCCGCGUGAGGGACGACGGCCUUCGGGUUGUAAACCUCUUUUAGUAGGGAAGAAGCGAAAGUGACGGUACCUGCAGAAAAAGCACCGGCUAACUACGUGCCAGCAGCCGCAGUAAGAC